AAAUGAUUUUUCACUGUCAUAGGUAUUAGAAGAACAAAUUUACUUGAUUUUACCCAAUUACACUUAUUUCACACUUUUAUUUGUAAUAAAUUAAUACAAUCUACAUGAUUCUUUUUAAUUUAAAGUUAAUUCAAAUGAAACACAUUAAACAAAUGAGAUCUAUUUACAUAAUGGUUCGGUCAGUAGGGGGCAGUGUUUGUACCGUAGUGUCGUUGUCUGCAGGUAAGACCAAAGAAGAAGACAAACUUCCUCUUCAAAACGCGGCACUUUCACCACACCACACCCGUCUGCCAUCGUCGGCUCUGUUAUCAUACUUGAAGUUGGUAAGAGUUUUAAUUUCUUUACCUUUGGCUCAUUAUCAUUAUUUAUAAGAUGCGGUGGAUACAAACACCAUGGUGAUGUUGAAAAGCCAUCUAAUUUAAGUAAGUGAGGCAGCCAGUGGUGUUGAGCAUCUUUAAUUGCAGGCUGUGGGUCCACACUGUAUAAUCUCUUGCCUGUGUUAAAUCUGUGGCCCGGAAGUGCUAUAUUCAUCUCAAGAACAUUAAACUAUGGCUUUUGCAGUUUCAUUGUGACAACAGAUAUGCACGUUUUAGUGAAUUGAUUUUGUUUGAUUUCUAAUGCAAAUAUGUUCUCUUGUAGAUACCCAACCUCCCUGAUCAACAUAGUGGCAUCUUGUUUGGAAAUUUGACAAUACUGCACCUGACAACGUAUUUACAUCGGUGUAUGUGGCAGUGUAAGGUGUGUGACAUAUUGUUAUCAAGUAGGUAUGAGUUAUUGAAAUGUUUUCAAAUCAGACAUUACCAUCAUGGUCACAACUUCAGAUACCUGUGUGUGUGUAGAGGUUGCCCAUGUGCUUUCACUUUGUGAAAAAAAAACAAAAAACAUUUGAAUCAUGUUUAUCAGAGACAUUCACAAACAAUUCAGAAGGCAUUCAAAUUUGUAACAUUUUCUUGUCAGAAUUGUGCAUGUAAGAAUAUCUCAUCCAAGAGGGAUUACUUUAUUCAUAUUAAUGAACACAUAAGGAGGCAUGAAACAGUUAAAUGUGUGUUUGAAAAAUGUACAUUUCAAACUAAUAUUUACAGUACAUUAAAUUGUCAUAAGAACAGAAAGCAUAAGCCUUACAGUUUAACAGAUUUUAAAGCUGGUGUGGUUACUUCUGGACAUCUUAUGUGUGAUUGUCAAUUUCUAUUUUUAGAUAAAUGCUUAGUUUAUGUGGAUUAACGUGAUGCCCCUUGAAUCAAGUUCAUCUCCCAGCUGGACAAAUACAUGAUGAAGGUCUUUCAUAGAAAGGGUGGAGUUGCAGGACACAAGAUCUGCCAGAUAUUGGCAUUGACAGCUAAGUUACAUGCUGUGGAGGUUUGUCUGUUAAAAUUUAAAUACAUUAAUCAUAUUUAGCACUGAAAGCUAUCUUUUUUUUUUUUUUUUUUUUUUUUUUUUUGCAGAGUGAUGAAAUUGGCUUCAAACCAGACUGCAUUUUGAAAUGUCUGUGUGUCUACCUCAGUGAGGACAGCAAGGAUCUUGUCAAGGAACACAAGAAUGUGGACCUUGAAGAAAUGGAGAGAGGCUUUCCUGAGACCACCAUGGGGAUCUGUGUGAUCAGAAAAGAAAAUGCAGAGCCAGAGGAGGAUCCUGAGGACGUGGGUGUUUUGAUUGAGGGAGUGGAAGUCCUUGUUGGCCUGAGAAGCAUCACUCAUGGAUGUGCUAUACUAUUUGGAUGAACUGAACUUAAGCUACCCACAGGUAUGGAAAUGCACAUCCAAAGUGUUCCAAAAGGCUCUGAUGAAUCUGGAGUGACAGAAGCUGUCACCCACAGUUCAGUCAUUAAAAAUCAAGAUGCUGCAGUGAACCUUAUUGUGCAUUUUGUCAUUCAGAUGCUCUUCAAAGAAAUGGAGACUAAAGAAUUGUUAUUGUUGCACUUCAUGUUUACUUGGACAGCUUUUUCGCUGGCUCACUUUGCAGUUGAAUGUCAGUUUUAAUACCUAGAUUUCAAUAAAUGAAUAUAAAUUGAAAAUGUGUGAUGUGUUUAAUGUAAUUUAAUGUGAUUUUAAUGAGCUGAGUUUAAUAAACUAGAAUGGGUGCAUCAACAUAUUUUAGGUAAAUAGAAUUUAUUUAAGAAAACACAAAUCGAUUUUAAGUAAAUUAGAUAAAUACAAUGAGCCUCAAUUGCAUAAAUCAUCAUAGUGUUUUCAUCUCUGUUUAAUAUAAUUACAUUGGGGCUAUUUAUCAGUUUAUGUUCGAAUUACUUAAAUCAAUUGCAUGGAAAUUUGUCAUGUAAUUGAAAUACAUAAAACUGAUGAAAAUGACCAAAUUUAUUUUU